GACGAACGCUGGCGGCGUGCCUAAUACAUGCAAGUUGAGCGAUGAAGAUUGGUGCUUGCACCAAUUUGAAGAGCAGCGAACGGGUGAGUAACGCGUGGGGAAUCUGCCUUUGAGCGGGGGACAACAUUUGGAAACGAAUGCUAAUACCGCAUAACACCUUUAAACAUAAGUUUAAAGUUUGAAAGAUGCAAUUGAUUCACUCAAAGAUGAUCCCGCGUUGUAUUAGCUAGUCGGUGAGGUAAAGGCUCACCAAGGCGAUGAUACAUAGCCGACCUGAGAGGGUGAUCGGCCACAUUGGGACUGAGACACGGCCCAAACUCCUACGGGAGGCAGCAGUAGGGAAUCUUCGGCAAUGGACGAAAGUCUGACCGAGCAACGCCGCGUGAGUGAAGAAGGUUUUCGGAUCGUAAAACUCUGUUGGUAGAGAAGAACGUUGGUGAGAGUGGAAAGCUCAUCAAGUGACGGUAACUACCCAGAAAGGGACGGCUAACUACGUG
rnacentral:rRNA from 1 species